rnacentral:lncRNA from 1 species
AAAACACAAGGAUAUGGAUGGAGUACACACUUACAGGGGACCACAGGCACUCCUGAUGCGACUGAAAUCUUUCACUCAGAUCUCCCAGGCCCUGAGCCAAGUAGAUCUCUCUGAACAUUCUCAAACCGAUAUCAGACAUUACUCCCAUUCCUCCAUCUCCACUCCCAGGAUGGGGACUCCAUGGUAAUCCCAGGCCAAGCAUGUCCAGCCUCCCAUGCAUGCCCCAGGCCCUGGGAUGGGAGGAGCCUUCUCCAUGCUGUGCCUCAUCAUAGGCCUCAGA